GCAUGACCACAGACAGCCCACUGCAGCCUCAACCUCCUAGGCUCAAGUGAUCUUCCCACUUCAGCCUCCUGAAUAGCUGGGACUACAGGCAUAGGCCACACACCUGACUCACACAUUUUUCACUGUUAAUACUUCUUUGCUGAGUUAUUUUUAAAUGUUUCAGGAUUUCCAAAAAUUGAGUUUUUUUGUGUUAUCUUUUUGGUGAAGAUUUUCAAUUUAAUGAGCUGUGGUCAGAGAGUGUAAUACAAAUGAUAGAAAUUCCUAAAUGUGUUGAGACUUGAAUCAUGGCCUGUUCUCAAAGAAUAGCAUAUCAGUCUUAACUGACCUCCACUAUGUGACUUUGCAUAUUGACCAGCAUUUCCAACUUUUCUAUAAAUCUUUGGAUGCUGACAGCAUCUAGUCUGUUCUUUGAUGAGCAGACUUGGCUUUGGCUGUUCCAGCAGAGUGCUGUUGAAGUAUCAAGGUGUUUGGUAUGCUUCUAAAUGUAUGUACUUGUUAUUAUAAUUGCAUGAUUUAAUUAAAAUAUGAUUUAAGAGGUAGUACUUAAACAUGAAUAAAGAGGGAAUUCUUAUAUCUGCGAAACUUUGUUAAAUGUUUUGGAAAUAAUCUCUGCGGUUUAAUUGCUAAAAUAAAAAAGGAGCUGUAUUUACGUGUGAGUAAGAUCUGGAAUCAGUUGUAGAUUAAUUUUGUAAAUAUCUUUAAAUUCUCAUUUGCUUAAAAAUAGUUGGGUAUUGUGUACAAUGUAUUAUAUGUUGGACUUAUGUAAGAAAGGCUUAGAACUCUAUAAUAGGUCCCUAACUGCAAGUAAAGACCUCAGCUGAAAACUUUCCCCCUGUGGGAAGGUUAAAGCAAGUAACAGGAUGGAAGCUGGGAGAAAGUCAGCAUUUAGGGUGUUGGGCAUUUGUAUAGAUUGAUAGCAAUACUUGCAGACCUGUUUUACCAUGUAGUUGAAAUAGUUAUUCAAAAUGAUAACCUAGAAAAGCAGAACAGGGACACUAGAAUUAAAAACAAAAAACUCUACAGAGGAAUUACAGUUGCCAUAGUCAGCAAUGAAAUUAGAACUAACAAACUGCAGUUUUUUUUGUUGUAGGCAAAUUCAGAAAUCUUAUAACUUUAAAAAAUACAUCAUACUUUUUUAGUGUUUUAUGAGAUGGAUUCUGAAUUAUAGAAUGUCUCACCAUUAAUAUGCACAUUCAGCAUAGAAACAGUUAAAGAAAAUAAACUUACCUGAAACAAUUGUUCUUCCUGUGCAUUGUCGUCACAUCCUUUUUCUGAGGACCUGAGACAAAAUGAACUACAAGUAGGAUAAGAACUGAAAAAUUUUCACCAGAUUUAUGAAUGCAAUUUUAUCAAUAAUCUUGGUGAGUGGUAGUGGCAGAAGAGUUGACCUUACAGCUUAUAGCUAGCUGUUAGAAUAGCUAACUUAAUGAAUUUUCUCCUAAACCUGAAACUCGAAGAUAUUGACAACCAACACUAGUUCCCUGAUAAGUAACUUAGGGAUGUGCACUCUUAUUUCAAUAAUUACUGCUUCCAUAAAUUAUAUAAACAUUCAUGCAUUCAGACAAUAUGUGAAUAUUUCUGUGUGCUAGGUGAUGUGCUGGGUGUUGGGUAUGCAAAGAUGAACAGUACAAAGAAGAGCUCUGUUUUCAUUCAGUUGAGGAUAGAGUUUUUCAAUAACAAUUAUUUUUUAAAAUGAAAAUGAAGAUCCACAGAUUUCCAGGAAAAAAAAAAGAAAAUGACCUAAAAGACAUAGCUUUACCAUUGAAUAGAAUAUCCUUCCUCUAAUGCAUGAAUCAGAGUAUGUAAAGAGAAGAUGUAAAAAAGAGCUUUGAGUUUUAAUUUGGGAAAAGAAGUAUAAGACAGUAGUAGCAGCCAUAUAAAAUAGAAUAAUAUCAAACAUUUAAAAAAUGGUAUAGUGAAGCAUAGAGCAAAAUUUACAUUUAAGCAUUUACUAAACUUUGGUAAAAACUAUGAUUUAAAAAUAUCCUUAACUGUAAGGAGGUAGUAUAAAACAUAGUUUGUUGCAAUUGUAUAUUUAUUUUUACUUUUAAGUAUCAGACAAAUUGAUUCAUUUUUUAAAUUCGAAACUAAUAUAUGUCAGACAUGGUUACAGUUAAAAAAUUAUUUUUUGAAAAUGAAAUUGUGGAUGCAGAAGGCAAACAAGCUGUAGCAGAAAAGGAUGGAUUUAAUAUGAAGAGGAGGAGGAGAUAAGAGCAAUCCAGAGGCAAAUAUUACUCAUGCCAUUGGUAGUUAUACAUGCUCUAGAAAUAGUUCUAUGUUGUAUUGAAUAUCAGCUUGAAUCAGGAUUUGGUAUUACUACAACAUGGGAAGAAGCAAAGCCAAGAAAAAUUAUAUUUAUUCUUAUAACUCCCAAGAGAUACAGGAGCUAGAAAGAAAUUAUUUAGGCAGUUAGUGAGGGUAGGAGAGUCUUUAGCAAGGUUUCCUUUUUAAUGAAAAGCAGCCCCCAAAACAUUUCUUUUAACAAAGGACAGCCUGAAAAAUUGAGCUGCAGACAUAGAUAAGCAAGCUGGAAGCUUGCACAGGUAAAUGCUGGCAGUUGUACCAAUAGAAAAGGGCUACUUGGAAGCUGGUGUGUUCAACAUGGAGGCUCACCUUACCUUUUCUUUGUCACCACAUGUGCGAUAAAGAGGCAGGCAACAUGGCGUUGGCCAGGUAGUGAACCCAUCUGUCUAAUAAAAGAUUAAGAUGGGGCGGCCAGGUUCUUCCGAGGCUAUGUAAGUGGCACACCUGGUCUGACCGGUCUCUCCAGCCCUAUGGAGACACGGCCUCCUAAAAAACCAACCACAUUUUGCCACCAACGCUUCCUCUGCACAAGGAGGGGAGCUUUUCUCUUUCUUUCACCUAUUAAACUAACACUCUUAAGCUCACUCCUUGUGUGUCCUUGUCUUGACUUCUUUGGCAGGAGACGACUAACCUGGAACAUUUACCUCAAACAACGCCGCUACUUCCAAAGUACUUACUUUAUUAAAUGAAUAUGGUUUGUUUUGAGUUAAAAUGUUUAAGGUAUGCAUAUAUUUUUUCUAACUUCUCACCUUAACUGAUUUUUUUAUUAAAUGAAGAAAUGGUCUCAAUCACAUUGGCUAACAUGGCCUCUACUUAUUUUAAUUCAUCUGGUUUUCCCACUUUAGGGGAUUAACAGUAUGGAGUACUUGCGAAACUGCUUGUAUUUGUAAAGAGUAAAAUGCAGUUUAAAUAACAAAGAAGUUAGUUUGUAGUUCAGAAACUGUGGCCUGGUUCAGAGUGUGAGUUUGAAAUUUUGUCUUUAAGAUUUUGUUUUUAUUUACCACCACCUUUUAUGCUUAAGUUUAUGAUUGGUCAUAAUUAUCCCGUUGACAUAUUCUGUUAUGUGAAAAUCUGUGUAGGAAACCUCUCUAUUAAUUAAACCUGAUGUUUAAUUAUAAUAUUAAGAGUCACAAAGUACUGUAGAUUCUCUUCGUCAUAGUUAUUUUUAGACUUUAGGGAAGUCUAGUUUUUAGAAUUGACAGUGUUUUUUAUUUUUAGCUGUGUGUUGAAUAACCUAUGAUAUAUCAUUCACUUAUUAACUUCACAUUUUUGUAUAAUAAUAAGUUUUAGAUCAGAUAAAGUAAAACUGGCAUUAAUUUGGGAAGGAGAAAUUGCAGAACUUAGUGAUUUUUUGAAAUAAUGUGUCAACUAUAACUUGAAGGUGUUAUUUUUAUCCCCAAGGAUGUUUUGAAAUAUACUGAUUUGAAUUUCUUAUGAUAGACUUUAUUUUAACCAUAAAACUAUUUUGAUAUGUUUUAUAAUGCUGUGAUACUGUAUGCAUGGUGAGGACAUGGGUUGUUUGUUCUUACCACCAUAUUCCCAGCACUAGUGUGGAAUGAAUGAAUAAGAAACAAGGGAGUAAAAUGCAUAAUCCUGACUAUAUAUGUCUUCAAAAUCAAGUUAUUUUGAAGGAAAAAACUAUGUAUCCAACAAAUUGAAACAGAUACUUAACAAAAUUAAGACUAUUUUAAAUGCGUGUUGUACUCUUUGGCAUUAUUUUUCACAUCCAAAAAUCUCUUGGAGCCUCUUCUCUGAGUAGCUUCUGUGAAUCUGAUGAUGCUAGGAUUUUAUUUUUUCUUAUAUUUUAAAAUUCUUCUGAUUACAUCAUCUCUUUAGACAUCGUUCUUGACAGAUGGCAUUUAUUAAAUAUGGACAGUAGCAGGCAGUUAAAAAGACCUGCCUUAGAUAGGCAGGAACCUUUCUUUUUUCUUUCUGAUUCUCAAAGCAAACCAGUGUAAGCUUUAUUUAACUUCUAGAUUAAUUUAAAAAGAAAUCUCUUUAAAUUAUGAUUCAACAGGUAUAGGGUGAAGUCGGGGAAAUGCAUGUUUUUAAAGCUUCCCAAGUGAUUUUGAUCAUCAGUCAAGUUUAGAAACCCCUGAUUGCAAUUAAUUUCCUUAGGAUAUACUCAUAUAUUUAAUUCCAAACAGGAAAAAAAAUUGAAAUUUAAAAAAAUAAAAAGUAUUUUUAGAGAUGACAUAACUUUGCUUUUAUUUUGUUUAAAAAAACUUUAAGUUUUUUUUUUUUUUUUUUUUCCCUGCGUUUUUAUUAAUUAUCAAGUUCUAGUGAAGGCUUAGAAACCUAAAAACACCUUUGGGAUGGAUUCAGAAGAUCCAAAAGAUACGAUGAUCAAAUAUGAUCAGCAAGCUUUAGGAGAGGAUCACAAAUACGUGAUUUUGAAGUCUCUUCUGUUUAAAACCAAUCCAAAGUCUUGAAUUUAAUCCAGUAUAUAGUAUGCUACAAAUGGAAAGAUUAAACUGGAGCAAUAUAAUUAGGGUAAGCCAUUGCAUCUGCACUUGUAUUGCAGCAACUGAAUUUGAAACCAGCUGCAAAAUGGUGACUAAUCUGUCUGGCAAGCCCCACAUGAGAGUGUAGUACAAUAAACCAGCUUCAGCCUCAUGAGCACGUGUUUCUUCAACUUGCCUCUGAGCAGGUGAUGGUGAUGAUGCAAUCUGAUUAUACUUUUGACUGUAUUCUAACCAUAGUCGACAGUAGAGACUCACAAGGGAUUUCACAAAAGACUUAAAACUAUGUAUUUUUUCAGAUAAGUUGAACUAUAGACAGCCAUAGAAAUUAGUAAUUUUUUUCACCUUAGUGACUGUCGUACUUUGCAGUACUUUAUAAUCUUAAGUUUAGGAGGCUUUAGUUUUCAUGUGCGAACAGAAGAUGAGAAAAAUAAUGUGGAAAGAAAGUACUUGUACUUGGAGCUCUUAUUCUGAAUUGUUUACAACUACUUACGCUGAUCAAUUAAAAUAAUUAAAUUGUCCAGACUAUUUAAUUCUGUACAAACAAGAGAUGAUAAAUCAGUGUACUGUGUUUAAAUGGUACACUAACCUUUCCACAUUCAGGGAUGUACCUCCCUAGCUAUAACCUACCCUGAUGAGGUGAUAUUUAAGUGUCUUGAACAUUAAAGGUGUUUAAUAAAUACUCAGUUUGACUUGGACUUGAGCCUUUAUUUUCGAAGGGAAUAUGUUUCUUCUUCCAUUGUACCUCAGAGGGACUUGGUAAGCAUGAAUAAAGCCAUCUGUUUGAAAAUAUAUGUGUUACAGAAAAAAAAAAAAGUGCUACAGGACCUAAAAUGUAUUAUU